rnacentral:rRNA from 1 species
UACGUAGGGUGCAAGCGUUGUCCGGAAUUAUUGGGCGUAAAGAGCUCGUAGGCGGUUUGUCGCGUCUGCUGUGAAAACUCGGGGCUUAACUCCGGGCCUGCAGUGGGUACGGGCAGACUAGAGUGCGGUAGGGGAGACUGGAAUUCCUGGUGUAGCGGUGAAAUGCGCAGAUAUCAGGAGGAACACCGGUGGCGAAGGCGGAUCUCUGGGCCGAUACUGACGCUGAGGAGCGAAAGCGUGGGGAGCGAACAGG